AGUGAACGCUGGCGGUAGGCCUAACACAUGCAAGUCGAACGGCAGCACAGUAAGAGCUUGCUCUUACGGGUGGCGAGUGGCGGACGGGUGAGGAAUACAUCGGAAUCUACUUUUUCGUGGGGGAUAACGUAGGGAAACUUACGCUAAUACCGCAUACGACCUACGGGUGAAAGCAGGGGAUCUUCGCACCUUGCGCGAUUGAAUGAGCCGGUGUCGGAUUAGCUAGUUGGCGGGGUAAAGGCCCACCAAGGCGACGAUCCGUAGCUGGUCUGAGAGGAUGAUCAGCCACACUGGAACUGAGACAAGGUCCAGAGGCCUACGGGAGGCAGCAGUGGGGAAUAUUGGACAAUGGGCGGAAGACUGAUCCAGCCAUACCGCGUGGGUGAAGAAGGCCUUCGGGUUGUAAAGCCCUUUUGUUGGGAAAGAAAAGCAGCAGGUUAAUACCACGCUGUUCUGACGGUACCCAAAGAAUAAGCACCGGCUAACUUCGUG
rnacentral:rRNA from 1 species